GGGUUGUGAGGUUAAGCGACUAAGCGUACACGGUGGAUGCCCUGGCAGUCAGAGGCGAUGAAGGGCGUGCUAAUCUGCGAUAAGCGCCGGUAAGGUGAUAUGAACCGUUAUAACCGGCGAUACCCGAAUGGGGAAACCCAGUGUGUUUCGACACACUAUCAUUAACUGAAUCCAUAGGUUAAUGAGGCGAACCGGGGGAACUGAAACAUCUAAGUACCCCGAGGAAAAGAAAUCAACCGAGAUUCCCCCAGUAGCGGCGAGCGAACGGGGAGGAGCCCAGAGCCUGAAUCAGCAUGUGUGUUAGUGGAAGCGUCUGGAAAGGCGCGCGAUACAGGGUGACAGCCCCGUACACAAAAGCGCAUGUGCUGUGAGCUCGAUGAGUAGGGCGGGACACGUGGUAUCCUGUCUGAAUAUGGGGGGACCAUCCUCCAAGGCUAAAUACUCCUGACUGACCGAUAGUGAACCAGUACCGUGAGGGAAAGGCGAAAAGAACCCCGGCGAGGGGAGUGAAAAAGAACCUGAAACCGUGUACGUACAAGCAGUGGGAGCACCCUUUAGGGUGUGACUGCGUACCUUUUGUAUAAUGGGUCAGCGACUUAUAUUCUGUAGCAAGGUUAACCG
rnacentral:rRNA from 1 species